rnacentral:rRNA from 1 species
GUAAGAUCCCUGAAAGAUGAUCAGGUAGAUAGGUUCGAGGUGGAAGCGUGGCGACACGUGGAGCUGACGAAUACUAAUCGAUCGAGGACUUAACCAAAA